GACGAACGCUGGCGGCGUGCCUAAUACAUGCAAGUCGAACGAGUGGCGGACGGGUUAGUAACACGUGGGUAACCUACCGACAGAGGGGGAUAACACUUGGAAACAGGUGCUAAUACCGCCUACUGAUGGAUGCACCCGCGGUGCAUUAGCUAGUUGGUGAGGUAAAGGCUCACCUAGGCGACGAUCUCUAGCUGGGCUGAGAGGAUGAUCAGCCACACUGGGACUGAGAAACGGCCCAGACUCCUACGGGAGGCAGCAGUGGGGAAUAUUGCACAAUGGGCGCAAGCCUGAUGCAGCCAUGCCGCGUGUAUGAAGAAGGCCUUAGGGUUGUAAAGUACUUUCAGCGGGGAGGCGUUACCCGCAGAAGAAGCACCGGCUAACUCCGUGCCAGCAGCCGCGGUAAUUC
rnacentral:rRNA from 1 species